UACGAAGGGGGCUAGCGUUGCUCGGAAUUACUGGGCGUAAAGCGCACGUAGGCGGCUUCUUAAGUCGGUGGUGAAAUCCUGGAGCUCAACUCCAGAACUGCCUUCGAUACUGGGAAGCUCGAGUCCGGGAGAGGUGAGUGGAACUGCGAGUGUAGAGGUGAAAUUCGUAGAUAUUCGCAAGAACACCAGUGGCGAAGGCGGCUCACUGGCCCGGUACUGACGCUGAGGUGCGAAAGCUGGGGGAGCAAACGGG
rnacentral:rRNA from 1 species